rnacentral:lncRNA from 1 species
CUCAAUCAUAGUAAUAAACCAGGCAACUUUUCUUUAGUGAUGUGGUCCAAUUUUUCCAUCAUCUCAUUUGUCAGGUAAUUUUUGUAAUCUCCUGUCACACCCCGCCGGAAAAAAGUGCUAUUUUCCUGGCUAGACGGUAAUUUUCCGAUUUUAUUCACCUUUAAAUUGCUCAAAUUAUCAAAACUACACAAAUUCAAGAUUUCAUCAAUUACUCCACAAUUUUCUUCUUCUUUUGAAAAUUGACACUCCAAGAAUUCAGAUAAUUUCUUUAAAUGGAAUUUAGGCUCUUUCUUCAAAUCUUCAUAUUUCAAAAACAAAACCCUUUUAGGAUUUUCCAAACUUUGCUUCCAAUACCCCAAAACAUGAUCCCAAAAUGGCCCAUAAAAGCUCAGACCUCUACAAAACUUAUCAAAAGCAUCUUCAAGUGAAUUUUCGCCUUUGUCUUUAGGCCUUAACCUAUUUGUAAAAUGAUAAAAAGAAAUAAAAGUGUCUUUGGUGUUUCUACACAAGUAAAUAAUCUUACAGCCCAAGUCUUCCACAGAUUUUGGAAGAGACAAAAGGGGCAAAUGGGUAGAAAACAAUCUUGGAGAGGUAAAACUAGAAAAAUCAGGAGAAUCAGUAUCAAUACAUACCAUGUCCAAGAAAGGAAGAAGAACAUGAGGAUUAUUAGUAAGCAAAGGGUGGUUUUCUUUAGGAUUAGGAAAACGAACUCGGUUCAUCAAAGCAAAGGUUAGUGCUUUUAACCAAGUUGUGCCUGAUUUAGGAGUAGUAAUAAGGAAGAUAUCGCUUUCUUGAGCUUGAAAAUGGUUUUGACAAGUUACAACACCUUUUAGUAGCCUAGUUGAAUGCCAAAACCCUUGGUAUUGAUGGAGAUGAUUUGCGACCCAACCCUUUUCAGUUGGUAGGGAGACUAUGAAGUCUCUAAAAUCUUGAGAAAAUUCUUUUUAUUGCAAGUAAGCAGCAAGAGAUUCAAGUGUUUGCAUGGUUGUAGUAAAUUAUGGUCUAUAGUUAUUAUUUUCUUUGUGUUGUUCUUGGUUUGGUUAUGUAUGUAUAUACACAGCGGUUCCCAUUUGCAAUAUAUAUAAAAAUUACUAUAAUAUAUAAUAGUAAAUUACAAUUUAGUCUUUAAGGUUUGAUUAUAUCACAACUUCCAUCUCUCUUGUAAUGUUGCUUGAAUCGUAGAAAUAUUGACAAUAUUUUUUUAUCUAAAAAAUUAAAAUAUUAUACACACACAUAACCUAAGCGAUUUUAUGGAAUUAAAAAAAACCAACAAGCUCUGAACAAAUCUAGGUUAGGUUAAUAAUACAAAAUCAGACAAAUUUAUGUCUCUAUGAAUAUUUAAAAUUCAUGAAAAUUAUAUUCUAAAGUCCCAUUUCUGCAUUGUAUAUUGUAAUCCACUCUCAGCUACUUAUAGACACACUAGCAUCAUCAGGUGUAUAUAUAUAUAAUUUUCAAAUUAAAGUGCCACUAAUUGUUGAAUUAUUGCAUCCUCAAAAAAUAAAAAAUUGUUGAAUGAAGACAUAAUUGUACAUAAUAAUUAAUAAAGAUCCAAAGACGGUACAUUCGUAUUUAUAAUAAUUGACAAUGCAGCAGAAAAUGUAAACAAAUAUAAGCAAAACAACAAAUUCAUGGCUACUAAUACUACAAGAAAAAGAGGCAACAUUAUGCUUAUACUUGGAAAGAGAGUACCCUCAGUCAUAGUAAUAAGCCAGGGCAAUUUAUAUACAGAGUGAUAAUUAAAUAAUAUUAUAUUAUUAUUAUUAUUAUUAUUAUAAAUACCUUCUUUCCUUCGCAAGCAAUUUUUAUUACAUAUCAAUCUACAAGCAAAACAACCAUUGAUUAAUCUAAAUUCGUAUUUUAAAUGUUUUCCUUGUGUUGUUUUUGGUUUUGGUUAUGUGUUUAUAUACAGAGUGAUUCUCAUUUGCAAUAUAUAUAUAUAAAUUUCUCAAUAUAUAAAGGUAAGUAACUAUUUAGUCCCUCAAUUUCAAUCAUAUUAUAAUUUCAUCUCUCAUAUUUGGUAAAUAAAUAACCCUUUAAAAUUUUAGUUUCAUUAAACUAUUUAGUUUUUCUAUUUAAAAAAGUACUUAUUCAGAAGUUAAAUAUCUCGUACUACUUUUGAUUACUUGGUUAUUCAUUUUUAAUAUACUUUUACUAUUUAGUUUCUCACAUUUACUAUUGUAUUACAAUCUAGUCCUUCACUUAAUGGUACAAAUAGCACUUUUUGGAUGAAGAACUAUAAAUAGUUUAAUAGAACUAAACUAGGGAUGAAAUAAUAAUUACAAUCUUCUCUCUUUCAAUUUUAGUUAUCCUUUGUUACUUAUCAAUCCACUCUCAAUGAAUUAUAAUCAUUCAACUCAAUAAGAUGUUAACAUUGCUUAAAAUUUUUUAUUUUUAGUUUUUAAUUUCAUUAAAUGCUUCUCAAAAGUCAAAAUACAUAAAAUUUGAAAGUUUUGUAAAUUUUGGAAGAGCAAGAUGGACCAGGCCAGGCCCAAAUUAGGUGGGGCUUCUUGGGAUUUAGGCCUCGAUUGAGCCUUAGCUGUUACUUAAUGGUGAAAAUAACACUUUUGGAUGAAUAAUUAUAAAUAGUUUAAUAAAACUAACUUUAAGAUUAAUUAAUAUAUUUAUCAGGGACGUAAUAAUAAUUAUGACCAACUAUUAGUUAUUUAUUCUAUAAAUGUGAAAUUCCACCCCACUCAUUCUUAGGUAUCUAUCUCUAUUUUGUCAGGACAUCUUGCUGAUAGUGAGCCAAGCACCUAAGCUUUGCUAAUUAAUUAUUGUGGUCUUAUUUAGUAAUUUGAUAAUAUUUUUUAUCUAAAAAAUGAUUUUAUUCAUUAAAAAACAAGAUUUGUAUGCACACAUAUAAGCAAGAAUAAGUAAAAAUUUUUAAGUCAUGACCUAAGGGAUACUAUUAAAAUUAAAACGAACUGACUACAUCCAAAUAAAUCGAAUUAUGUUAGAUUUUUUUUUUUUUGAAUAUUAGGAGAGCAGAUUCGAACAUGAAUCUAUUGUCAGAUCAUAAAUACACUUACUCUUAAAUUAUAUCUUGAUGUACCGAAUUAAGUUAGAUCAGCAAUAUAAUAAAGCAAUAGUAAAAUAAGACAAAUUAUGUCUAUUAAUACUAAAAAUUCUAGAAAAUUAGAUACCUCUCUUCUUCUCUAUAUAUAUCUAUCUAUAGUAGCUUGAUAAAAAAAAUAUCUACCAAUUUCACUUAAAUUAAUCAACUUAUGUGCAGCUUGAUUUCCUUUACGAAAAAAAUGCAAGAUAGUAUCUUAUCAUUCACUGUGUAGGAACUGAUGAAUACUAUCAUUAUUGUCUUUUGUAACUUGAAAGUAAUUAGAAAGUUGAUUAGCAUAUUAAACACAUUAAAAUUAUACUUUUAAAAAAAUAAUUUACUUGGAAGUGCACUUCUCAUAAAGUAUUCUUCUUGGAAAAUAGAUUGUUUGAAAUCAAACAAGGCCUUUGUUUUCACCACCCAACUUUCCUAAGCAUCUUAGUAUUCUGGAAAAUACUUAUUUAGACCGGAUUUAUAAUUACAUCUUAAAUCCUUUUUGUGUGAUUUAGCAUGUAAAUGGAAGAAUAUUUAAUUAUUUAUUCUAUCUUUUUUGUGUAUCAAAAACCUUUAAUGGAAAGUGAUAGUUGUUCCAGAAGUCGUACUAUACUGUUAUAUAAUGAGAUCAAAUUAAAAUUAAAAAUUUCACAAAUUGGUCAAUUAAUUUUAUAGUGCUUUUUUAAGUAUCUCGAAGAUUAAAAAUGUUGCUAUAUGAUUAUUAAUUAUUUUCAAGCAAUUUUUUUUUUUUUUACAUUGUUUGCUAUUUGAUGACUUUUAGUGAUUAAUCAAUUUAAUCAUUUUAUAAUAAUCACCAUGUUAAUUAGCCUUGCAAAAUUACAGAAACCCUAAUAUUGGCUUAUUAUCCACUAGCAAAUGAAUAAUUAAACUGGAAAGUUAACAAUGAUAAUUCAAUCAUUUAGAAAAUUUUAAUUAAAUAUUAUUUUCUUUUCAAAUGAAGAUAUUAUUGUACAUAAUAAUUAACAAAGAUCCAAAGAUGGUACAUUCGUAUUUAUAAUAAUUGACAAUGCAACAGAAAAUGUAAACAAAUAUAAGCAAAACAACAGAUUCAUGGUUACUAAUACUUCAAGAACAAGAGGCAACACUAUGCUUAUACUUAGAAAGAGAGUACCCUCAAUCAUAGUAAUAAACCAGGCAACUUUUCUUUAGUGAUGUGGUCCAAUUUUUCCAUCAUCUCAUUUGUCAGGUAAUUCUUGUAAUCUCCUAUCACACCCCGCCGGAAAAAGACGCUAUUUUCCUGGCCGGACGGUAAUUUUCCGAUUUUGUUCACCUCUAAAUUGCUCAAAUUAUCAAAACUACACAAAUUUAAGAUUUCAUCAAUUACUCCGCAAUUUUCUUCUUCUUUUGAAAAUGGACACUUUAAAAAUUCAGAUAAUUUCUUUAAAUGGAAUUUAGGAUCUUUCUUCAAAUCUUCAUAUUUCAAAAACAAAACCCUUUUAGGAUUUUCCAAACUUUGCUUCCAAUACCCCAAAACAUGAUCCCAAAAUGGCCCAUAAAAACUCAGACCUCUACAAAACUUAUCAAAAGCAUCUUCAAGUGAAUUUUCACCUUUGUCUUUAGGCCUUAACCUAUUUGUAAAAUGAUAAAAAGAAAUAAAAGUGUCUUUGGUGUUUCUACACAAGUAAACAAUCUUACAGCCCAAGUCUUCCACAGAUUUUGGAAGAGACGAAAGCGGCAAAUGGGUAGAAAACAAUCUUGGAGAGGUAAAACUAGAAAAAUCAGGAGAAUCAGUAUCAAUACAUACCAUGUCCAAGAAAGGAAGAAGAACAUGAGGAUUAUUAGUAAGCAAAGGGUGGUUUUCUUUAGGAUUAGGAAAACGAACUCGGUUCAUCAAAGCAAAGGUUAGUGCUUUUAACCAAGUUGUGCCUGAUUUAGGAGUGGUAACAAGGAAUAUAUCACUUUCUUGAGCUUGAAAAUGGUUUUGACAAGCUAUAACACCUUUUAAUCUCCUAGUUGAUGGAUACCAAAACCAAAUUAGUUUAUUUUGCACUUUAUUAAUCAAUGUUCAAUUUUGUAUAUGAAACUAUCAAUUUUUUAUAUCAAACUAUAGAGAUAAUUUUUCUUCAUUUACGAAUUUCUUAGCUUUAAUGUGAAUAUUUUGUGUUUAAUUAAAGAGAACUAAUAGCGUCUCCAAUGUAAAUAUGGAUCGCUCUUAUUCAAUUGCCAAAUCAGAAAAAUGAAAAAACUUUUUGAAAAAUGCUCUCCAAUGCUAAUGUCUAUUUAAAAUGUCAAGUUACAGAAAUCCUAAUAUUGACUCAUUAUCCAGUAGCAAAUGAAUAAUUAAACUGGAAAGUUAACAAUGAUAGUUCAAUCAUUUAGAAAAUUUUAAUUAAAUAUUAUUUUCUUUUCAAAUGAAGAUAUUAUUGUACAUAAUAAUUAACAAAGAUCCAAAGAUGGUACAUUCAUAUUUAUAAUAAUUGACAAUGCAACAGAAAAUGUGAACAAAUAUAAGCAAAACAACAGAUUCAUGGUUACUUAUACUUAGAAAGAGAGUACCCUCAAUCAUAGUAAUAAACCAGGCAACUUUUCUUUAGUGAUGUGGUCCAAUUUUUCCAUCAUCUCAUUUGUCAGGUAAUUCUUGUAAUCUCCUAUCACACCCCGCCGGAAAAAGACGCUAUUUUCCUGGCCGGACGGUAAUUUUCCGAUUUUGUUCACCUCUAAAUUGCUCAAAUUAUCAAAACUACACAAAUUUAAGAUUUCA